CCCAGCCCCAGCCCCAGCCCCAGCCCUGCUUCUCCAUAGAGACAUGCCAAUCUUCAUUGAUUCGGUGCUCAAAGUAAGGUGUCCAUUACUCAUCCUGUUAAACUGAGAUGCCCUGUCUAUCUCCUCCAUGUUGACUGACUGACUCACCAUUUUUAGUUAAUGCACACAGUCACAUUUGUCCAUGGUCUCAUAGAAGAACAAAGAAUUCUUGUUCCUCAUAUGUUAAUUAGGAAAUGUAAUUGAACAAGAGCUUCACCAGAGAAUUAUCAUCAGUGAGUCAAGUUACCAUCUUCCCAAUCUCCUGUCCUUAAGGAAGGAGAACCAUUCUGUCAUUGCUGCAGUAGUCACAGUCCCAAAUUUCUGAGCAAUGCUCAGUUGUCUUUUCUUACAUAUUGUACUGACCAUUCUUUGCAACUUGUGAAAUUCUAAUUGUCUACAAUUUGUCCAUUGGAUUAGACCCUGGUCCAACCCCAUUUACAUUGAGUAGAGGGGGCAGACCCAAGUCUGUUACAGGACAGUUAAUGUGCUCAGUCCCAAUUAUCAUGGCCUUGCCCAUUAAAAGGGCCACUAUAUCCUAUUUGCAUGCUGAAAUGGCACAAUUGCCUCAGGCCACUUCUUCUAAAUUGAUGAUAUGCAUAAACUCAUGUCCAUGAUAUGUGCACUAGCCACAUCCACUCCCUUUAUUUCAGCAGAGGACCCUUGCAACUUGAGACCUCUGUACUAGAACAGCUAAUGUGAACAAUCCUGAUUAGGAACUGAAUCUUUUAUAUAAAGGUUUUGCACUAUCUUUGCUUUACCUCAAGAGGGUGCUGAUUACCUAAAGUCCCUUUUCAUAGACUUAUGUGAAACUACAGUUAAAGAAGUCUCUGCCAACCACUAAGGCCACUUCUUUUUCUGGCCUUUUGCUGUACUGAGAAUCGAACCUAGUCUUGUGGAUACUAGUAAAGUACUGUACCAUGGAUCUACAUCCCCAGCUUGUCAUUGUUUGAGACAGGAUCUCCUUAUGGAGCCCAAGGGUGACCUGGCACUUAAUCCUCCUGCUUCUCCCUCCAAGGCACUAGAAUUACAGGCAUGUGCCAGCACUUCUGUGUUUUGUGCUGUUAAUAUGCAUAGUUGCACUUGUCUGUUUUCCUGAGCAUUGGAUAAAUACCACCGCUCAGUCAUGUCUUUCAUAUUCAGCAGUGAUGACUUCUACCUCGAUUUUUGCUUUAGGAUAACUAAUGCCAGUGAUGACAAAUGACUAAGACUGUAUCUUUAUGACCAAGUCUCCUGUGCUCUCUUUUUACAAUAAGGGGUGUUAAUUACCUAAAUGGUUACUGUUUCAUGGGACUAUGAAUGUAAAAAAUUCCAGUAUACAUGGUCCUUUAAAGCAAUUCUACCCCUUUUACAUAAUAGCAAGCGAUGCUAAUAACCUAAACUGAGACACUUUCUUGUGGUUCUGGGGAUUGAACCAGGAACUUGUGCAUGCCAGGCAAACAUUGUAUCUCUGAGCUACAUCCCCAGCCUUUGGUUGAGACAAGAGUCUCAUUAUGUAGCCCAGGCUGGUCUCACAUUAUCUUCCCACUUACUAGCCUAAAUUGGGGCUCUUUAUGUAUUUGUAAUUAUUUAUUGUCCCUCCCAAUAAGCUAACAUCCUGAAUUCUCUAACUAUAGGAGGGGAUACUACCCACCUGAAGUCUUUCUGUUGGAUAGUAAAUGACCAAAAACUUACCCUGGCAUCGAAUUUGUUUAUACUUACUUUUUGUAAGAGCCUGCAUGCCUGUUGUACACUGCUUAACACAUGUAACUGACAGUAGUCUAUGCCCCUUUAUAUAAAUAAGAGUCAGAUCCUAUUUCCUAUGUCCACUUGCAUUACUGCAGGUGCUUCAAAGGAACCAAGAUUCAAUCCUGGCUCCUGUCCUGUUUUUCACUUCCAGGCUGACUUGGAAUUUAAUAUGUCUCCUAGGCUGGCUUUGAACUCAGGAUAUUGUAAUCGGAUACUAGUGUAUACCACCAUGUUCUGCAGUCUCUCUGAUUGUGAAUGUGCAUACUUCAUUUUGCUGUUAACAAUACUGUUAGUAUGCACACAGUGCACUCUGUUUCUAUUGCAAUGGGAGGUGCCUACUACUUAAGAUCCUUAAACUAGUAAACACGCACAAUGUUAGUUGUUUUGUACAUAUUCUCAUGUUCACUGCUGUGCCUUUUAGAUCACGACUCCUGUACUUAACCAGAGCAAGGGGGCUAACUAAUAUAAAGUCCCUUUCUCGAGACUACAGACAGAAAUGAUUUCAAUAUUGUCAAUGGUCCUUCAAGUUAGACUUCUAUUUGAUCAAUCAUACUCUCUUCAAUUUAUGGAAUUAAGAUGCUGUAAACUUGAGGUCCCUUUCUCAAACUGUUAAUGCGCAUAAUGACAAUUGCAUGAGGAUAAACUUCACCCUUGAUUUGAAGUACGGCAGUGACUUAUAAUAAUGUCCCAUUUUGUGGCCCACUAAUAAUGUCUGAUUGCAUUUGUUCUUUUCAGUUCACUACAGAGAAGUCAUUCCCUGUCCUUCUGCCUUUCCCUUCCAGCAGGGAACGCAUACUGUCAAGGACCCUUAUGCUUGAACAGUCGAGGUGUAAGACUGUAAUGGCCACAACCAUGCAUUUCAAGUCUUAGCAUUAACUGCACAUGACUCAUUUCCCUUGACUAAGAUCUGACUCUCAGACCCUUUUGCAGUACAGCAAGGGUCAUUAUGGUCCCUCUUUGCUUCUCUAUAAAACUGGACACUAGAUAAUGAUAUCUUCUCCUCCCUACUCUCUUUGAUUUUCAGGAGAGAGUGUCCAGUACUUUAAGAUCUUAAUAUUUGUAUAAAGGAUGUGGUUUUAAUUCACCACACUAUGUCCUUUGAACAUUAAUGUAUGUAAUCAGGACAUGAUUCAUCCAAUUUAUCCAAGGUUCUACCCUCUUCAAGGCUGCUGACCUUGAAGUUCUCUUUUUGUGGCCUGUUCAUGUGCAGAAUUGCAUUCAUGUGGAUUCUUAAGCAGCAGACAUGAGCAUCCCACCUCUGACUUCCUCUGCCGUUUAAUAAGUAGUGCCCACUGCUUAAGACAUUAUGUUUGGACACUUAAUGUGUAAUUGUCCACAACCCUGUUACUUUUAGGACCAUUAUAUCCUUUUGCACUACUGCAAGGGAUGCUGGUCCCCCCCCCCCCAACAAGGUCCCUGUUAGUGGACCAUUAAUAUACAUAAUAGAAAUUUUCUUUUGUCUUUGUCAGUAGACAAAGAUUAUACCCCUUCACCUUUCCUUUACAGUACAGCAGAGUGUGCUGAUCAACCAAGGCCUCUUCCUUUGGACUGUUAAUAUGUACAAUUGCAUUUCCUCCUGUUCUGUGCACUAGAAAAGGAUCUCAUUUACUGCCUUAGCAUUUUCAGCAGGAAGUGCCACUACUCAAGAUGCUCUGACUUGGAAAGUUAACGUGCGCAAACCAUUUUCUGAACAUAACUUGUAUCAAAACUCCUGUGCCCUCUUUGCUUUAAAGCAGAGAGAUGCUUUUACUCAGCACCCUCCUUUUGGAUUUCAGUGUGUGUUAAUGCAACUGUUCAUCCCACUUUUCGAAGUAGGAUUUUACAGCCUCAUAUUCCUUUUACAUCAGAGGCAUGUUAACUAUUUAUGAGCCCUUCUUCAGUGAAUAUUAAUAUGCAUUAUUAUGUGUGCAGACCUGCCUAGAAGAAAAGAUUCUUAUGUUCCUUCCUUUUGACUGCUGCUGUUGAAGAAUGUUAACUCUUUAUAACCUCAGAUUUUGGAUAAUUAAUGUGAAUAUCAAUCAAUGAUCAAGAGUACAGAUCAUUACUAAGGACCCCUGUGCCCUCUUUGCAUACAUCAGGGGUACUGAUCAACUAAGCCUCUGGAUUGUUAAUAUGAAUAUUUGCAAUCAUGCACACUUAGGAUACUGUGUUCUCACAGCCCCUAUGUACUACUGCAGGGGCUGCUGGUCCACUUAAAACAUCUGGGACUGUUAAUGGGCACAAUGACUAUUACCAAUGGCUUGCUUUCUUCUCUAAAACUUAUCUUGGGACUAUUAAUAGGCACAAUGGCAAUGGUCAAUGGUUUAUUUCCCACCCUGGCUUAUUAAGCACGUAAUCUCACCUCUAGUUUCCCAUUGGUAUAAUAAAGUGUAAAUAUUACAGUAUUCCAUGUAUUUUACAUCCAACAGCGGCCCUAUUUCUGUCCCUUUUGCACUGUUCCAAUACAUAAAAUCCCAAAUAGCCAUAAUCUUAUACACUUUAUACAAGAUCUUCCUUCUCCUCAGCCCCUUUCCUGUCCAUGGACCACUUUUAAAGACCAUUAAUUCUCACAAUCUGGCCAUCAGGAAAGAUUUUGUUCCCUGUCCCCAGGUCCAUCACUCUGCCCCUUCUGCCUCUUGUUGGGUAGUCUUGACUGGGCAAGGCCCUUCUCUUGGACUUAAGUCAAUAAUCCCAGAAGGCAUCAGUUUACCCACUUAAGGAAUGCAAUAUUUUGGUUUCACUUUCCUUGAUCCUACCCAUUGGAGCCCUCCAUUUCCUUUGCAUUACUUCUGAGUAAUGGCAAUUACCCAAAGAGUCUUCUGUGUCUCAUUAAUGAACACAGUACUGAUUGACUGUCCCACGUUCCAGACCAUUCAGCCAAGAUAUUCUUACCAUUUAAAUGUAUUUACAUGUGUUUUCAAAAGCAGGCCUAAACUAGGUGGAUGAACCUUCACUCUCUUGGAUCUAUUAAUUAUCUUAAUUUCAAUUAUUGGCACAUUCUGGGUGGUUAAGUUUGUAUAUUGCUACUAUACAGUGCCAAUUGCCAAAAAAGUUGUUGUUAGUUUUAUUUCUGAAGAAAGACAUUUGGAUUGUGAGGUAGACUUGAUAAUCCGGUCAUUAGGGGAUUUUUUGAACUAAAAAAAAAAUCCAUUUAUACUAUAUCUAAUGACCUGUGUCUCUUGUUUUACUGAGGGGGAUGACUCUGUCCAUAGACUGCUGUGUUAUUGUUAUUUCAAAGGAGUUCUAGAGUGGCAUGCCUAAGACUAGUAUCUUUGUUUGGUCUGUAGUACCACUUAAAAACCAACCUUUCUGUGGCCUUUACUGUUAUUACCUUUUAGGAAAAUGAUUUAAACUUUCUAAUCUUUAAAUUUCGACCAUCACUGAGCACCAGCCUCUACUUAUAUUAAGAAAAUGGCUGUAAAAGGAUUAAAUUAAAGAAAAUAUGUUAAAUUGCUCUUGAAAAUCAUAGGCCACCAUAUUUGGUUUAUUCACUAUAUAAGAUGCAUUAUUUAAUUCUGGUAAUCACUUGAAGUAGCUUGAAGCACCACUUUAAAGUGAGAACUUAUCUUAGAAAUGAUGGAACCUGCUUCACCGUUUUCUGUUUUGAGAAAUGAAAUCUAAGUCAAGAUCUAAUCAUUCUUUUGUGCAUAAACUUCAAAAAUGAGAGAUCUGCCUAGUAAAAAGUUAAUAGCCCAGCCAAUAGUGUGAAGUGUGUUUUGUGCCUAGAGUAUUUAAUUUUUAAAAAAUUAUUACGUGUGUGUCUGUGUUUGCGUGUGUGUGCGUGCACGUGCCGAGCAUGGAGAUUGGAGAACAACUUGCGGCAGUUGGUUCUCACCACAAUGUGGGUCCUGCCUGAGGAUCCAACUCCAGUUGUUAGGCCUAGCAGCAAGUGUCUUCACCUGCUGAGCCAGGCGGAACUGUUGAUUGGCCAGCCACUGAGUAAUAUGGAACUGCUGAUGAAAAUAGGCAUCACAACAUCAAUUCUUGGCAGUCACUGAAAAGUGAUACUAUUCCUCUAAGAAAGUUGUCAAGAAAUUCGCCCAGGGCAGGGACCAGGAUGAACUGCCACUCCUCGGACAGCUAUAAGAAUUUGCCUGUUUAGAAUACUGGAUGAAUUUGGAGCUGGUUUUGUACCCCGACUCAAGAGGAAGGAUGGCUUCAUUUAGAAGAACCUAAAAGACAUUCCCAGCAUGAGACUCAAGGACUGUAAGCAGCUGAUGCUAGGCUCCAAAUUCAGCAGCUCUUUCUUUUGAGGGUCUCGCCAAGGUCCAGCUAGCUGAGUGGAUACCUUGCAGGCUACCUGAAGAAAAAGAUCUUCCCCCAGAAGAACAGGCUUGUUGCUUUUCAGUGUUAGUGACCUAUUCCCUUUGACGAUCCCUAGGUGGUGAUGGGGCAUGAGGAUCCUCCAGGGGAAUAGCUCAGUAUCACUGGGCAACAGCCCUAAGUCAGGGGGUUUUAGUAAGACACUUUGCUGGACCUAGAUAGGAAGAUGAAACCUAAAGACAACCACCACACAUCAAGAUAGGUCUCUGCCAAAUCAUUCCCAAAAGUGAUGCAGAAAGCUAAAUCUUCAGUAAGAUCAAAACAUGUAAACACACUGAAGGAAACCAGCUUUCCUACCUGAAGAUCAACAUGCCUGGCACUGUAGCAUUUUUAAAAUAAUAGAAUUGAUGUGUCUAGCUUUUUGUGUCUAUUUCUUCCUUGCUUUGCUUGUCUAUUUCUUGCUUUUCUAUUUCUUCCUUGUUUGCUUUGUCCAUUUCUUCUUUGCUUUGUCUGUCUUGUCUUGUGUUUUGUGUCUUUCUUCCUUGCCUGGAUUGUCUAUUUCUUGCUUGUCUAUUUCUUCCUUGUUUGCUUUGUCUAGUUCUUUGCUUUGUCUGUCUUGUCUUGUGUUUUGUGUCUUUCUUCCUUGCCUCGAUUGUUUCUUUCUUUGUUGCUUGUCUGUUUCUUCUUUGUUUGCUUUGUCCAUUUCUUCUUUGCUUUGUCUGUCUUGUUUUGUAUUUCAUGUCUUUCUUCCUUGCUUUGUGUCCAUUUCUUCCUUGUCUUCUUUGUCUAUUUCCUACUUGUUUUGUCUAUGUCUUACUUGCUUGUCUGUGUCUUCCUUAGAUGUCUUUCUUUCUUCUGAUUUAAUGUGUCUUACCCAUUCCCAUGUUUCUCCUAACUACUUUCUUCUCUACAUCUUUGUCUGUUUUCUCCUUUUGUGCCUAAGUGUGAUCUGUGUGUUGUCUUCGAUGUAUCUCUCUUGUUUCUUUCCAUUUGGUUGCUAUUUCUCAUUGCUCUUCUACAUCUGGCUCUUCUUUCAGUCUUUUUUCCUUUUACAACUCUUCUUUGGGUCAAAUGUUAUAUGUUUUCCCUCUCCUUUCCUUUUGUGCCUACCUCAUUUGUUUUUUUGUGUGUGAACUUUGUCACUUCUUCCUCUUCUUGCUGAUUCAACAUCUCACCUUUUCUGAUUCUGACCUCCUUUCUGUUGUUUUUACUUAGCUCAUGCUUCUCUUUUUUACAUUUUCUUUCUGCCUCUCUUGAGCGGUUUCUUCUGUGCGUCUCUUCGCUUUCGUGAUUGCUCAUUUAAGCAUUACUGUUGACUUGUACGUGCUUGUGUUUCUUUCUCUUCUACUUUUCCUUUUCUUUUAUACUCACCUUUGGGCGUUUCAGUCUCUUUUUGAGUGUAUGUCUCCCUCUCUUUGAUUUAAUGUAAUCCUCCCUUGGGUAUUUCUUUGUAUGUAUGUAUGUAUGUACAUGUGUGUGUUUGUGUCAAAUGUGUAACAGAGGAGUGUCCUAGCCCCUCUCUAAGAGGUGCAGAAAGAUCGCUGUGGAACUGUUCCUUGUGCCAGGCUGCCCUGUCAGAAGACUCGAGACUAAGACGCAGUACUACAGUCACGAUGGAAGUUGAGCAGAAGACCUAAAAUGAAUGCAUAUAGAAGGCCCAAAGUAGAAGACAUAUGUUUUGUGACUUGACUGAAAGGACUAAGAUGGAAAACUUGUCUCACCAUAGAUGGAAGCUUAGGCCUGAGACCAACAGAAACCUCAAGAGCCAAGAUACUGAAGGCCUACCUGAGUUGGAUGGACUGCUCAAAUCUCAAGUCAGAUAUAGAGCCCGUUUCUAUGGGACACAUAUGAACUCUAAGAAAUGAAACCUAUGACACAUAGCACAAAACCUGAUAGAGGCCCAAGAUUGCAGUUUGAACACUUAAAUCCUAAGAGCAGAAGGCUCUUUGCAUGGACUGAUGGCCUAAAAGAAACAGUCUAAAGCCUGGGAGUUGGAGGCCUGUGACCCAGAACUCAGAAAGGACCGAAACACUAAGACCUGGGGAAAUAUGAACACGAGAACCCUAAGCCCAGCUCUUACCUAUUGUUAAACUGUUUCUCUUGAACGGUUUUAAUUCUCCCCUUCUAGUUCUUGGAUUUACAUGUAAGCCUGCUUCUUUUGAGAUGUACUUUUUGAUGUUGCCAUUUUCCUUAAAGGAACAUAUUUUCCAUUUAUAUUGUGCUUGAGCCAAUCUUUAGUCUGUUUUAAAUCACAGUUUUUAGCCAUUUGUUAAAGUUUUGGUGUUUUAAAACUUCCAUUUCUCUGUACAUCUGCUCUACUUGGGAGAGAGACAACACAGUCCAGCCAAUAUUUCUAGUAUACCUUUUGUUAUUUCCCCUAAGAAUAAGCAUCCAUAUAGACAUUGUACUUCUAUUCUCCCCUACCUCAGGAGCUCUAUGCUGAUGAGAAGAGGAAAAUAUCAGGCUUCUAGGGGAAAAUAAUAUUAAGCUUUCUAGAGAAAGCAUGAAAUUGCUCUAGAACAUUGAGGAAAAUUAGACAAGAAACACACAGUUGUGCCAGCCUUCUGAGAGGCACCAGCCUGCAUCACCUUCCUUCUUUCAGCUUAGGUGAGCAGGGUUUGGCCUGUCUGGUAAUGGUUACAGAAAGAAUAAUUAGGCUUGGGACAGAAUGAAGUCUGAACUCCCUGCUCAUAGUAGUGACCAAAUAAUCUGCUGCAUUUCACCAAAUCUAUUCCCGGGUUUCAUACCUACAUCUAGCCUUACUGAUGAGAGAACUUGGGACUAUUUAAUGGGUUUACUCCCUCUCUUGCCUCCCUCCCUUUGUGGGAGAGGUUGACUUAAACGACUAAUAAAAUGUACCCAAACACUGUAAAUCACAGGAGAAAAAAGCAAAGUGCUCAGUAACAGCAUAUUGACAAUCAUGCAUGGCUAACAUCUGAAAAAAUAAUUUUAGCUGGAGGAAUAAUCAGGGGUCAACUUUUUUCUGUAAGGGGUCAGAAUGUAAAUACUACAGACUUUGUGAGCCACAUGGUCUCAGUUACAUAGUUUUUAAAAACCUUUCAAAAGGUACGAAUCAUUGUCAGCUUUGAAAUUAAAUGGAUCUGGCCCACUGCCUAUAGUUUACCUAGCCCUAAUAUAAGUGCCAGAGAAUAUGUCUGAAUAUCAUUAAUUUCCUUCUCUGUGCCUGUCCUUGUGCCACACACUAAGGAUGUGAUGCUUAAUUGUGGUCACAUCCAGGCGACAUGAAGAAAAAUGUAUAAACAUACUUUGCAAAUCAUAAAGCACUUGAAAACUUAAAAGUUUCAGUGCUGAAUGAAUGCUUAAUACCUUGCUAUGCAUUCUCCUGUGCUAUAAGAGCAAGCAAAAAUGUUUUGUCAAAAAAUCAUAAUAUUGUGUGAACAUAAUUAAGGCUGACUGAAGAAUAAUUCAUAUAUUUGAGCCAAUGUGUUUCUACUGCUCUGGUGAUUUGAGUAAAAACAUAUUAUGCCAGGUAGCAGAAAAGAAACUGAUUAGAAAUUGAUUUUAAACUACAAAAAAGCAUAAGUGAUUGCACAAUUGUAAUCACAUAUAAUGUGCCAAAAGCCAUGCUAGGCUUUAGAGAUAUCAAAGAGGGCAUUUUAUCAUAGACCUAAAAUUUCAGAAAGAAAAUGCUAUUAAAGUGUGUUAUAAACUAAAACAUUUAUGUAGAUAUCAAUAGUUACAUGUGUGUGAAUGAAUGAAUUCUACCCACCUCUUACAUGCCAGGUAUUGUUUGGGGUGCACGAACUCAAAGAGAAAUUCUCUCAAGUCACUCUGCAAUGAAAUAAAAAGAAAGCUUAUAUUCUAUACUUGUUAUAAGGAAAGAGAUAAUGAUUAUUUGAUCAGUCAAGAUUUCACUGGUGAGGGCAAGUUAAUACUAGAACAUUCGCCUAGGUAACAGGAAAAAGUUAUGACUUAUGGGUAUGCUGCUAUCUAAACUAUAAAGCACUAGGUAAAUGUAAAUGUAAGACAUUACCCAUUUUCUUUCUCAUAAAAUAAGCAUGGUCUCUACAAAAUUCUUAUUGCACUCUUGAGCACAGUGAGAAAGCUAGUAGAAAUAGCUUUGUAAGUUGGGCAUGGUAGUUCAUGCCCCAGCUUUCAGGUAAUUAAAAGCAGCAGAGCAUACCAUGGGGCCAGCCUGGGAACAUAGUAAAAUAAAUCUUUCACGAAGAGACUAAAUACCUGUUGCAUUCAUUAAUAAAUCAAUAUUGAUUGCCUAUCUUGUAAAUUGACUUUUAUGGGCACUGGAGAGAUACACAGACUUGCCACAUUUCAUUGUGCCCACAGCGGAGAGGAAUGUAUAUGUUAGCAUUCCAUGAACUCAAAAGUACUAUAUGAAUAACUAUUGAUCUUCUGAUUUGGUGCUAAUUCCCAGGCUUAUAAAAUGCCAUUGCAUUUAUUAUACUGUGUAAAUAAGUUAAAAAAUUAAGUAUUAACUCUUAAAUACUCUGGAUAUAAGUAAUAUAUUUGGCAUGCAGUGCCUGAUGAACAUAAGACUUGAUGGCAAUCAUCUAUUAUAUACCAGUGCCCUUGUUAGGCAUCGGAAUACAGAGACAAACUAUCUUUACUGUGCCCUGUUAUCUAAACAAAUUAUGUGCAAAAUCAAUCUAUAAUUUGCACACCACCAUACAUAUAAGCAAUAUUGCUGAAUGAGCAAUGAUUAUUUGCUCUUAUUCCCAGACACAACAACUGGAGAUACAAAAAUUCAUUAUCAUUGUUACUGAACCUGCAACAGAGGCCUGCAUGUAAAUAUAGGAAGUUUGCAGUUCUAUAAAGAUAGGAUUUAACUGUUGGCUUCACCAGUGAACAGGGAUUACCUUGAGUUCCAAUAGUGCAUACCCUAGGAUAUAAAAUUGUUCCUACUGUUAUGAAGUACUCACAGGAGAAAAAGAAGCAGCAGGUAUGAGAUUUAGGCAAAAAAAAAAAAAAAAAAAAAAAAAAAAAAAAC